rnacentral:rRNA from 1 species
UACAGAGGGGGCAAGCGUUGUUCGGAAUUACUGGGCGUAAAGGGCGCGUAGGCGGCCUGUUAAGUCGAACGUGAAAUCCCCGGGCUCAACCCGGGAACUGCGUCCGAUACUGGCAGGCUUGAAUUCGGGAGAGGGAUGCGGAAUUCCAGGUGUAGCGGUGAAAUGCGUAGAUAUCUGGAGGAACACCGGUGGCGAAGGCGGCAUCCUGGACCGACAUUGACGCUGAGGCGCGAAAGCCAGGGGAGCAAACAGG